UACGUAGGGUGCAAGCGUUAAUCGGAAUUACUGGGCGUAAAGCGUGCGCAGGCGGUGAUGUAAGACAGUUGUGAAAUCCCCGGGCUCAACCUGGGAACUGCAUCUGUGACUGCAUCGCUGGAGUACGGUAGAGGGGGAUGGAAUUCCGCGUGUAGCAGUGAAAUGCGUAGAUAUGCGGAGGAACACCGAUGGCGAAGGCAAUCCCCUGGACCUGUACUGACGCUCACGCACGAAAGCGUGGGGAGCAAACAGG
rnacentral:rRNA from 1 species